CGGCGGACGGGUGAGUAACGCGUGGAUAACCGUGCCUCAUACAGGGGGAGUAACAGUUAGAAAUGACUGCUAAUACCGCACUAAGCGCACAGGACCGCAUGGUCCGGUGUAGAAAAACUUCCGGUGGUAUGGGAUGGAUCCCGCGUCUGAUUAGCUGGUUGGUGAGGUAACGGCCCACCAAGGUGACGAUCAGUAGCCGACCUGAGAGGGUGGCCGGCCACAUUGGGACUGAGACACGGCCCAAACUCCUACGGAAGGCAGCAG
rnacentral:rRNA from 1 species